CUCCUCCUCCGUCUCUCAUCUUCUCUCAACUUGAAGCCACUUGCUCUGCUCGGAAGAAAAGGAAAGCAAGAUGGACGUCUCUCCCUCAUCCAUUCUUCUGCUCCCGCUCCUCUUCCUCUUCCUCUGCUCCCUCCCGUCGCCCGCCUCCGCCUGCGACCGCUGCGCUCACCGCUCCACAGCCGCCUACUACACCUCCUCGCUCACCCUCGCCGCCGGUUCCUGCGGGUACGGCGCGGCGGCCGCGUCCCUCAACGGCGGCCUGCUCGCCGCGGCGGGCCCGGCCCUGUACAGGCAAGGCGUCGGCUGCGGCGCGUGCUUCCAGGUGCGCUGCAAGGACGAGGAGCUCUGCGGCGCCGCCGGCGUGAGGGUCGUCGUCACGGACCGCGCGAGGACCAAGGAGAACGGCACGGACCUCGUGCUCAGCAGCCCGGCGUUCGCCGCCAUGGCCCGCCCCGGCAUGGCCGCGCGGCUCGCCAAGCUCGGCGCCGUCGACGUCGAGUACAAGAGGGUGCCCUGCGAGUACAAGGGCAAGAACCUCUCGCUGCGUGUGGAGCAGAGGAGCCGCGCGCCCAGCGAGCUGGCCGUCACGAUCCUCUACCAGGGCGGCCAGACUGACAUCGUCGCGGUCGACGUCGCGCAGGUCGGUGCGUCGUCGAGCUGGAGGUCCCUGACACGCGACCACGGGCCGGCGUGGAGCACGAGCCUGGCGCCGCCGGGGCCGCUGCAGCUCCGGGCGGUGGUGACCGGCGGGUACGACGGGAAGUGGGUCUGGGCCGAUCGCGAGGUCCUGCCGCGCCAGUGGCGCGCCGGCGAGGUCUACGACACCGGCGUCCAGACCACCGACAUCGCCCAAGAAGCCUGCUUCCCCUGCGACACGCAGGAGUGGAGGUGACCACCGACGAGGCAAGCGGCAAGCCAAGAGGAGGAGCUAAGCUCCAAAAUCGUGGCCGGGCGUCGAACCAACGGUCAGAGGCUCCUCGUCACCGCUGGUGCCAGUUUCGGCUGGGCAUGGAAUUGGAAGGAUAGAUAGAGAUUAGUAACUGACGCAGCGGCACGUAGAGCCCUCGUUGCUUAUCCAACUCCUGUGGACAAACAUGCAUGAGCUGCAGCUGACGUGUGAGAUACUAGUAUGUACAGUAGCAACCAUGAAGCGAUAACGGGUAGCGGACGGCGGCGAGGCCGUGGCCUGAAUCCCUGGACAAAAUACAAAAUCCGGUGACUUUUCUCAGUGGGUAGCGUCGCAAGUCGCCGCGCCGCAGGGUUCAUGCUCCGUUGCUUUCGGCUCGAUGGCAAACGAUUUUCAUUCAUGGGCGCCGAGCUCGACCGUUUGAAUGGGUUGGUGGCGAGAUUAAUAAUCUGUUGGACGACGGACGAAACGAAACUAGUCGCUGGUCUUCCAGGAUUCACUGAAUGAGACGGUCAGGAAAUUAAGGGCGUAGUGCAAUACAAUACUGUAAUCAGGAGUAGAAAGCACGUCGAAUUCAGACAUGUAUGCACUGAGCUGAGCAUACAUGAUUGGUGAUUACUCCUUCGGUCUCAUAAUGCAAGGCAUUUUUUGACACUACACUAAUGUUAAAAAAACAUCUUACAUUAUAGGACGGAGGGAGUAGGUCGUAGCUGGGUGCGCCAUAAACGGCAGCCACUCAUCAUCAGUGCAACGGCAACCAUCUACUCCUCCAGGC
rnacentral:rRNA from 1 species